rnacentral:rRNA from 1 species
GAUGAACGCUGGCGGCGUGCCUAAUACAUGCAAGUCGAGCGAACAGACGAGGAGCUUGCUCCUCUGACGUUAGCGGCGGACGGGUGAGUAACACGUGGAUAACCUACCUAUAAGACUGGGAUAACUUCGGGAAACCGGAGCUAAUACCGGAUAAUAUAUUGAACCGCAUGGUUCAAUAGUGAAAGACGGUUUUGCUGUCACUUAUAGAUGGAUCCGCGCCGCAUUAGCUAGUUGGUAAGGUAACGGCUUACCAAGGCAACGAUGCGUAGCCGACCUGAGAGGGUGAUCGGCCACACUGGAACUGAGACACGGUCCAGACUCCUGCGGGAGGCAGCAGUAGGGAAUCUUCCGCAAUGGGCGAAAGCCUGACGGAGCAACGCCGCGUGAGUGAUGAAGGUCUUCGGAUCGUAAAACUCUGUUAUUAGGGAAGAACAAAUGUGUAAGUAACUAUGCACGUCUUGACGGUACCUAAUCAGAAAGCCACGGCUAACUACGUG